UAGAGUGACCGAAUUUGACAGAGACCGAGACUUCACCAAGAUGAGAGUGGCUGCUUCCGCCCAGCUGGUUGAGCGCCUGAGGUCACAGACGGAGGCCCUGGAGGGUGACAUCUAUGGCCUUGUCCCGGAGUGUGGCAAGCCCUCAGCGGUGGCCAUGGCCCUCCUGGCGAGGGGGGAGGGCCAGGAGGACAUGGGCCACACCCCCGCACUGCUGCUGCCCCCCCCGAUGACCCGGCUUGGCGUCUUCAAGGUCACUGAGGGAGACGCCACCUGUCCUGAACUAGAGGACGGUGAGGUGUGCGCGGUGUGGGACCAGCGAGCGGUGGUGUGGUACAGUGGUGGCGGCGGUGGUGUGGAGGUGGAGGUGGAGGUGUUUGGGGCCACACAGGUGCACGCACUGUUUGGCGUGGCCAAGGUUGCCUUCACCCUGGAGCUGUGGUGCCGCCACGCCGCCAGGGACUCCACCCCAUCCCCCUCCCCCUCCCCCACCCCGGGCCCCGCCACCCACGCCACCCGAGGUAAUGCUGCGGCGCUGUGUGAGGAGCUGGACACAGCGGCGGCCUGCUUCAGGCUGCGCGGCGGCCGCCUCAUGCUGCACAGCGGCGACGGUGGCGGCGGUGUGCUGUGCGGCGGUGAGGCGGGGGUGGGGGCUGGAGACACAGCGGGCGGCGUGUUUUUCAAGGCUGCGGGGGGCAAGAAGAAGGGCGGUGGCGGUGCUGGUGGUGGUGGCGGCGGCGUGCAACAGGAAGUUGCCUUCCAGCUAGUGUACAACCGCAGUGCCGUGGUGGGUGAGGGCGGUGUGGCGGCGCCGGUGGUGCGGGUGGACAACUGUGAGUCGAGUGUGGUGUGCGCGGCGGUGAGCGGCGAGGCGGUGGCUUACCUGGACAAGAGUGGCGGGGUGGGGCAGCUGGGCGGGCUGCUGGCAGAGGCCGUGGCGGGGCAGGUGCGGCUGGCGGAGCACUGGCUGGCCCUGCAGCGGGGCCGCCCUGAGCUGCGCGGCCCUCUCACCGCCCUGGCCACGCUGCCCCAGGCGGCGGGCCACCUCCUGGCCCUGGUGUACCCUGCUGGGGUGGAAGAGGAGGCGCUGCGGGGGUACCGGGCGGCAGUGCACCGCGCCCUGGUGUUCCCCAGGGACCGCCCCAUGGUGCGCCGCGCCAACGCCCUCACCCCGGCCCCCGGCACCCGCCCCUCCGCCCUGGUGUGCCCCCACGCCGCCCUGGCCCCCCCGGGUGUGGGUGGGCGGGUGAGUGUGGUGCAGGGGGGGUACGCCUACUACCACUACCAGCAGGGCAAGAUGGACGACAAGGGGUGGGGGUGCGCGUACCGCUCCCUGCAGACCAUUGUGUCGUGGUACCAGCUGCAGGGGUACACGGCGCGCCCCGUGCCCUCACACCGCGCCAUCCAGCAGUGCCUGGUGGACAUCGGGGACAAGCCUGUGGACAUGGUGGGGUCGCGGCGGUGGAUCGGCAGCACGGAGGUUGGCUUCGUGCUGGAGACACUGUUCGGCGUGCACUCUCGCUUCCUGUGUGUGUCCAGCGGCGCAGAGCUGGCGGGCCGCGCCGCUGACCUGGCGCACCACUUCGACACCCAGGGCACCCCCAUCAUGGUGGGCGGCGGCGUGCUGGCCCACACACUGCUGGGCGUGGCGUGGGACGAGGCCACGCAGCACGCCACGGCCUUCCUGGUGCUGGACCCGCACUACACUGGCCCAGACGACACCCAGACAGUGACGGCCAAGGGCGGCGUGGCCUGGAAACAGCCUGACUUCUGGAAGACUGACGCCUUCUACAACCUGUGCAUGCCGCAGACACAACCCUGUAUAUAGGCCUAUGUAGACACAACCCUGUAUAUAGGCCUAUGCUCCUGUCUGUGUGUGUGUGUGUGUGUGUGUGUGUGUGUGUGUGUGUAAGAUUUGUUUACCAUAUAAUCUAUCUCUGUACUGAGUAUGUGUGUGUGUGUGUGUGUGUGUGUGUGUGUGUGUGUGUGUGUGUGUGUGUGUGUGUGUGUGUGUGUGUGUGUG
rnacentral:misc_RNA from 1 species